AACCUCCGCAAUGUGAGAAAUCGCGACGGGGGGAUCCCAAGUGCCAUUCUUAACGGGAUGGCUUUUCAUUAGUGUAAAGAGCUUUUGGAAUAAGAGCUGGGCAAGACCGGUGCCAGCCGCCGCGGUAACACCGGCAGCUCUAGUGGUAACAAUUUUUAUUGGGCCUAAAGCGUCCGUAGCCGGUUUAAUAAGUCUCUGGUGAAAUCCUGCAGCUUAACUGUGGGAAUUGCUGGAGAUACUAUUAGACUUGAGACCGGGAGAGGUUAGAGGUACUCCCAGGGUAGAGGUGAAAUUCUGUAAUCCUGGGAGGACCGCCUGUUGCGAAGGCGUCUAACUGGAACGGUUCUGACGGUGAGGGACGAAAGUUAGGGGCGCGAACCGGAUUAGAUACCCGGGUAGUCCUAACUGUAACGAUGCGGACUUGGUGUUGGGGUGGUUUUGAGCUGCUCCAGUGCCGAAGGGAAGCUGUUAAGUCCGCCGCCUGGGAAGUACGGUCGCAAGAACGAAACUUAAAGGAAUU
rnacentral:rRNA from 1 species